AUGGAGCAGGGCGUCGUCGACUCCCUCGUCGCCAGGAGCCCAUUCCUGGAGGUCCUCAACAUCCUGGGAUGCAAGUGGCUGCGCCUCCGCCUCAUCAGUCAGAGCCUACGGUGCGUGCUCGAGAACGGAGGACAUCGCCGUGGUAAAGGGCAGGUCCUAAAGGUCCGAGACACCAUCGUCAUGAGUAAAAGAUGCGCUGAACCCACUGGCAACUACCUCACACUCCAGUUCUGGGAAGAGUCUGACCUCGAAGAAAACCUCGUCUCGCGCAUCAGUGUGAUGAGUUUCCGUGAGUUCACCGGGGAACCAGGCGAGGUCGGCUUCCUCGAGUUCUUCUUCCAGAGUGCGCGGGCGCUGGAGACCGCGUCUGUUUCCAUGGCCAACUCAACCUUCACACCGUUCUCGACGCAGGAGGCGUAUGCCAAAGUGAAACGCAGCUCGAGGAUCAAGGCAAGUGAGUCCAACAUGGUUGUCCUUGGAAGCACCGGCCCCGCGGGAGGUGAGAAACUAAUGUCAGAGGCAUCACAUUGA
rnacentral:rRNA from 1 species